rnacentral:rRNA from 1 species
UUCCUCAGAAUGGUUGGAAAUCAUUCAUAGAGUGUAAAGGCAUAAGGAAGCUUGACUGCGAGACUUACAAGUCGAGCAGGGUCGAAAGACGGACUUAGUGAUCCGGUGGUUCCGCAUGGAAGGGCCAUCGCUCAACGGAUAAAAGCUACCCCGGGGAUAACAGGCUUAUCUCCCCCAAGAGUUCACAUCGACGGGGAGGUUUGGCACCUCGAUGUCGGCUCAUCGCAUCCUGGGGCUGUAGUCGGUCCCAAGGGUUGGGCUGUUCGCCCAUUAAAGCGGUACGCGAGCUGGGUUCAGAACGUCGUGAGACAGUUCGGUCCCUAUCCGUCGUGGGCGCAGGAAAUUUGAGAGGAGCUGUCCUUAGUACGAGAGGACCGGGAUGGACAUACCUCUGGUGUACCAGUUGUCGUGCCAACGGCAUCGCUGGGUAGCUAUGUAUGGACGGGAUAAGUGCUGAAAGCAUCUAAGCAUGAAGCCCCCCUCAAGAUGAGAUUUCCCAACUUCGGUUAUAAGAUCCCUCAAAGAUGAUGAGGUUAAUAGGUUCGAGGUGGAAGCAUAGCGAUAUGUGGAGCUGACGAAUACUAAUCGAUCGAAGACUUAAUCAAAUU